rnacentral:lncRNA from 1 species
AAGCUAUGCGACUACAAUGGCACUUUCUAUUGGAAUACUCAAGCCAAGCUAAGCUACUCUGAGAAUUUAUACUCAGUUGGGACAUUAGGAUAUCCUGCACCGAGAAAAACAAACAUAUUAUACUAUAUCUAAUUAGAUUCAAUCAAUUACAUUGAGUUAGAUUCAAAUACUGACUACUAUCCUACUAAGUCCACACACAC